rnacentral:tRNA from 1 species
GAACGUAUUGCUUAGUUGAUCAGAGCGUUGGGACGGUUUCCAAAGAGGCGCAGGUUCAAAUCCCGCGAUGUUCA